rnacentral:rRNA from 1 species
GACGAAGGAUGCAAGCGUUAUCCGGAUUCAUUGGGUUUAAAGGGAGCGUAGGUGGCCUUAUAAGUCAGUGGUGAAAUCUCUCAGCUUAACCGAGAAAUUGCCAUUGAUACUGUAGGGCUUGAGUAUAGUUGCCGUUGGCGGAAUAUGACAUGUAGUGGUGAAAUACAUAGAGAUGUCAUAGAACACCGAUUGCGAAGGCAGCUAACGAAACUAUAACUGACACUGAGGCUCGAAAGUGCGGGAUCAAACAGG